UACGUAGGUGGCAAGCGUUGUCCGGAAUUAUUGGGCGUAAAGCGCGCGCAGGCGGUUUCUUAAGUCGGGUGGGAAAGCCCCCGGCUCAACCGGGGAGGGUCAUUGGAAACUGGGGAACUUGAGUACUGAAGAGGAAAGCGGAAUUCCACGUGUAGCGGUGAAAUGCGUAGAGAUGUGGAGGAACACCAGUGGCGAAGGCGGCUUUCUGGUCAGUAACUGACGCUGAGGCGCGAAAGCGUGGGGAGCAAACAGG
rnacentral:rRNA from 1 species